AAGCCAUGAUGAGGACACUUGUGCAAUAGUCCUUGAAAUCUCUUCUAAGCCAUGUACAAUGAUUCCCCCAUCUAUCUGUGCAAAACUUAUGAUUUGCUUCCUUAGUUU